rnacentral:rRNA from 1 species
UACAGAGGUCUCAAGCGUUGUUCGGAUUCAUUGGGCGUAAAGGGUGCGUAGGCGGCGCGGUAAGUCGGGUGUGAAAUCUCGGAGCUUAACUCCGAAACUGCCUUUGAUACUGGUCGUCUAGAGAUCGGAAGAGGUGAGUGGAAUUCCCAGUGUAGAGGUGAAAUUCGUAGAUAUUGGGAAGAACACCGGUGGCGAAGGCGGCUCACUGGUCCGAUACUGACGCUGAGGUGCGAAAGCGUGGGGAGCAAACAGG